AAUAUAUUCUAGAAGUUAUCAUUUAUUUGCUUAGCUUGCAUUAGUAUUAUGGACGAUUUUAGAUGUCUCGCCUUCGAAAAGAUGACUCAGCAUCAUCCGAUGGAAGGGCGCCUGGACCAAGGACGUGAUCGGAUGUGGUCGGGUCGGGACAAGUGUUGGUCCAAUAUUUUGUGUUGUGUCUUAUUGCUUAGAAUACUAUGUCUGGGAAAAACCCUCUUAUUAUCAAAUAUUUUGUGUUGUGUCUUAUUGCUUAGAACAUUAUGAUUUGUAAAUCCCUCCUAUUUCAAAUAAAAGCAGGAGCGAGGGGGGGGAUUGUUUAGAGCGUGUUGAGAGGCUGUGAUCUGAACAAUCUCCCAUACGCCCUCCUCAUGAGAAAAAGAAACCAGCGUCUUCAUUCCUUUUGUGUCUAUUUUUUAUAAUGUUGGGUAAGAUAAAUCCAACAUUAAAUUGGUCCUUCGAGCCGGAUGUCAACACACCCGAGGACUCCAGUUGUGGAGCCGACUUCCAGUUAAGAGACCGUGGCCACGGCAAGUAAGACCCUUUACGGGACUGGUCUUCGUUCUCCUCAACUGGGAUCUGAAGGUUGACGACAAUCCACAGGAUUGAAGACGACUGAGAUUAGGAAAUUGGAAUCAGAGUGGGUUGGAAGCUGUGCACGAGCAGCUCAAGGACGUUCCAAAGACCGCAUAGCUGUCGACAUGCUCCUCGCAAGAGAGGGAGGUGUUUGCGGUAUGUUUGGAGAACAAACAAUACUGCUUCAGAUGGCAGCUGGACCAGAGCCAUCGAUGGUCUACGGACCCUCAAUCAACACUCCUUGUGAAACAGCUGAAUGGACGUUUUUGGUAAAUAUAAAACCCUAAUUUCACCAAUAUUGAUAUCAAUUGCUGUUUUUGCAGCCAUUCUGACAUUGUGUGGAUGUUGUUGUAUCCCAUGCAUUCGGGCAUUAAUCAGUAAAUUAAUCACCACAGCCAUAACCCACAUGGAACCGUAUGGAGCAGAUUUAUCCUUUAUUGGAGGUUGAUAAUAAUGACGAUGAUGAUGAUGAUGUUGUUUUACCUGAUUUGUUUCCUGAUCCAGGUGAUUACGAUGUUUAAACUACAACAUUCAUGUAUGACAAGUUUACUCUGAGUGUAAAUGUAUUUGUUUCAUAAAAAUGAUUCUACAAUUAAAAAUCGAAAUGAAGUGAC